UACGAAGGGUGCAAGCGUUACUCGGAAUUACUGGGCGUAAAGCGUGCGUAGGUGGUUUGUUAAGUCUGUUGUGAAAGCCCCGGGCUCAACCUGGGAAUGGCAAUGGAUACUGGCAAGCUAGGGUGCGGUAGAGGGUAGUGGAAUUCCCGGUGUAGCGGUGAAAUGCGUAGAGAUCGGGAGGAACACCAGUGGCGAAGGCGGCUACCUGGACCAGCACUGACACUGAGGCACGAAAGCGUGGGGAGCAAACAGG
rnacentral:rRNA from 1 species